CCCGCCCUAUCAUACCUGGGACCUACGCUUAAGCAAAUUAUGUAUUUAUGAGGGUACAUCAGAAAUACUGAUGACCUGAACUUCAAACUUCUGAAAAAUAAGCUUGUUUCUUGAAAUAAAUUAGGUUAUUUUAGUGUCAAUAUUUUGUUGUUGUUGUUGUAGUAUUUCAUUAUGUAAAGCUGACUUCGUAGCGAUAGGUUCGAAUCUAUAUUUUGCAUUUAUAAUUUCGUUUAUUUUAAUUUAAGUUGUCGAAUAUACUGUAAUAUCAUUGAACUUAAAUAUUUUUUCGUAAAUUUACUUUGAGUAUCUCCUUCUUAAAAAGAAACGUUGAUUCGGAUGUACUGAGACCUGAAUAUCUGCAUGCGCGCCGAUGUUUACAAAAGGAAUGUCCAGUAUUUUUGGUGUCUUUCGGUGAUACUUUUACACAUUAGAACAACUGAAUAAAAUCUCCUUUCAAUUAACUAUCGAUAUAUCUGGUAUUUUACGUAAGACUGAGUCCCAAUAUUAUUGCAAUUCGGUAGCAAAGAUGUUGACACCACAUGUCGUCUGAUGAUGAGUUUUACAGGAUCGAAUAAGGUUUGGUCAUUGUAUUCCCUGAAAGGAACAAGAGGAGAAAAGAAACUGGAAGACCUGCAUGCCUAUCCGCAGGCCAAUGCUGGCUGCAGGUCAAUAUUGAAUGCUCUUAUGAAAACUCAUAAGACAAUAACAAAAAAAAGAAGCUGAGGAUGCUGUUUUUAAAACAUGUUCCAUUCAAAAAUGGUGGAUUGAAAUUUAAGAAAGGUGUGACGGGUGCGGCUACUGCAGGCAGGGAGGAUUUGACGGUCAGCCAGAGGAUUUGGAGAUAUACUGUAAUGUCUUUAAUGUGGACUUGCUUGUGAUUUAAGUUUUCACAAGGGUUUUAGUGUGUGUGAAAGUAUGUCAGUUUUCAAAAUUGAGCUAUGACAAUUUGCUCAAACUACAUAACUCAAAGAAAUUGAAGCGGUCUUGUUGACGUCAUGAGCUUUUGUUUAAUACCAGUAUUGGUGAUAUAGGCCCAUGAUUAUAUACUGUAGAAAGUGAACAAGUUCACUGCUCGAUACAGAUAAUCAUAUGGCCUGAUCUCUGAAUGAUAUUUAUGAACCAAAAGAAGGCAUAAAAUAAAAACAUACUGUAGUGAUUUAAAUUAUUGAUAUUGUUAAACUAGAUCUGGGCCUGUAUUCAUAAAGGAUCUUAGUAAAAAAAAUUAUCUAUAACUUAAUAUUCUUCAAUUAACUCAAAAACUUUUCACGCUCUUUAAAUAUUUCACAGCAUGACUACAAACUUGUAUAUUAUACCAAAGAAAAAUAGAUUGGCAACUUGAAAGGCGUAUAGAGCAAAUCUCGCCAACAUCACAUGGCAGCUGAAUGAGAUCUCGUUUUAGUAAGCAUAUUUGAUCACAAUUGAUCGUCAGCAAAUGCUUUGAAAUAAGAAAACUUCAUUGUUUGUGUAUAAUGCUAAUGGUACUUUUUUAAUAAUGUUAUCAGUAUUUUCUACACAGGAAAGCAAUGAAUUUUUGAUUGGAAGUCUGAGAAAUCAACAGUUGUUGUAAAAUGGGCUCGAUUCGGUUUAUUACACGCCAGUGUAACAUUAAAUACUGACCACGUUGAAAAUUGACCCCGUAGAUCCUUUUCGACGUUGAGAAUUGACCCCAUCAACAUUUCAACAUCAAAUUUUGAUCAAAGGGUCAUUUUUCAACGUUGAGAAUUGACCCCGUCAACAUUUCAACAUUAAAUUUUGAUCAAAAGAUCCUUUUUCAGCGUUGAGAAAUGGUCCCACCAACAUUUCAACAUUAAAUUUUGAUCAAUGGGGUCAAUAUCUAAUGUUACACCGGCUGUACUGCCAGUUUAAUACUUCAGUAAGCAUCUGUUGAUUUGAUCAUGACUGAUCAAAUCGGCAAACACUUUGAAAUAAUAUAACGUGAAAUAAUAUAACGCGCUAACACGAGCUGAUGCAAGACUCUCCAGUUGCCAUAUUACUGUCAAAUCGCCGAAUAGUGGAGCGCGCUGUCUUACAGACAGCUCUUUUUGUUGAGAUCCCUUAGAGAAUUUCAAAUUUGUUGUCGCAAAUCUUCACUCUGAUGUGUUGCACACCAGUCGCAUCCAUAUAACCAUGGUCAAGGUCACACUUUGGUCAAAGGUCAAAAGAGAGUUGAUUCUAACACAUUCUUUGUUUAUUCUUUUACUAUUUUUUAUCAGAAAAUCAAAUUAUUGAUCGUCUGCGUUACUUAAAUUUUGUUUUUCUCAAAAACUGUCAAAGGUAACCAUUUGAAACUUGGAAAACUUGUUCACUUUUACACAUUUUAUUCAUUGCAAUGCAGGUAAC